rnacentral:tRNA from 1 species
CGGCUUAUAGCUCAACGGCAGAGCGCCAUCCGUGGAGGGUGGAGGUGUGGGUUCGAAUCCCACGAAGCCGA